GAUGAACGCUGGCGGCGUGCCUAAUACAUGCAAGUCGAGCGAACAGACGAGGAGCCUGCUCCUCUGACGUUAGCGGCGGACGGGUGAGUAACACGUGGAUAACCUACCUAUAGGACUGGGAUAACUUCGGGAAACCGGAGCUAAUACCGGAUAAUAUAUUGAACCGCAUGGUUCAAUAGUGAAAGACGGUUUUGCUGUCACUUAUAGAUGGAUCCGCGCCGCAUUAGCUAGUUGGUAAGGUAACGGCUUACCAAGGCAACGAUGCGUAGCCGACCUGAGAGGGUGAUCGGCCGCACUGGAACUGAGACACGGUCCAGACUCCUACGGGAGGCAGCAGUAGGGAAUCUUCCGCAAUGGGCGAAAGCCUGACGGAGCAACGCCGCGUGAGUGAUGAAGGUCUUCGGAUCGUAAAACUCUGUUAUUAGGGAAGAACAAAUGUGUAAGUAACUAUGCACGUCUUGACGGUACCUAAUCAGAAAGCCACGGCUAACUACGUG
rnacentral:rRNA from 1 species